UUAUAUGUUCCUAAAGCUGGUGAAUCAACCAGCAAACUCCAACCAGCCAUAGAGGACCUCCAUCACUUACCCUGGGGUUUUAUUUUUAUAUGACAGUUAUUUAUGACUGUUUUAUAAUGUACAAAUAGAUGUAAGUUUUUAUCUACAAGUUGUAAUCAAGCCUUAAUGGCAGAGAGGUUGCAAUGCCCUUGUGUUGCUGGAUUUGGGAAUGGGCAGAGCUUUGCUGUGAUGUGAAAUGUUGGCCCAAGCAAAUUUUCAUACCAAAAGGUUAUGUUUUUAAAGAAGUUAUUUAGUGCAGAUUUUAUGACCAAGAAAAAAUGAACCCGGAUAUCUUAUUUUCUCUUUAAAUAGAUGGAUUAGUUAAGAAAAUUGUGCAUAAUACCACUAAGAAGAAUUAGAGAAUGAAACUGCAGUGGGAAGUGGUGUGUCUGGGACUGCUGUCUGAGGUGAAGCCUGUGGACACCCCUGGUGUGCAGGCUCCAGGGCUGGUGCUGUGCAGUUAAUUCUCUCCCCACUUGGAGACAGGGAAGAAGAAGGUGUUGAUGAACAUGAGCAGCAAACAGCCCUUACCAAGAAUUGCUUGUAUUAGCAUCCAGUGCACCAUUCUGAAAAGGUGAAAGCAGUCCUUUACUAUUUAAAAUCCGUGAUUUAAAAAUAGAGGUUAAAAUAAUAAUAGAUUAAAAAAAAUAAUAUUUUUAGUAUGAAACCAGGUUUUAUCUUGCUUAUAGUGUCUAGAAGAACUGUUAUACCUGUGUUUUCACCUCCACUGAUAGGCAGGGAAGAUACUUAAUGCCUUAAGUAUUGCUUAGAUUUUAACUCAGGUUGUUGUGCACAUACAGAAUUUUUUGUUGAAUCGUUUCUUUAGUUUUUAUGUUGGCAGAGAAUUUUGUUUUCUCUGUGGCACCGUCCCUUCCUGCUAAUCCCAAAGAUCCAUUUUUAAGGAAUGAAAACUUCCUUUGUCAUAGCAUCUGGAGCCAUUAUUCCAUUCCAGUUAUACUGGCAUUGAACUAAUUGCUGAUUAGCAGGUAUAAUGAACAAAUGCAACUGCCAGUGCAACAGAAAACAGUUGGGGUUUUGUUUGCCUGUUUUUAUAGCACUGAUAAAAAUCCCAUUUCACAAGGAAAAGUUAAUGAGCAUGACUGUUCUUCAUUAUGUGGUAUUACUAGGUGCUAAAAACAUGGCUUCUUAGCAUGUUUGAGUUUGUAAUAUUAGAACUUGCUGACAUCUUGGUGUGAGAUCAGAACCGAGAUAGAGCAGGCCAGGUUGGAGGUGAAAAUUUAUUGAAAAUUCCCAGGAUUUCCUUUUUGGUUACACAAACAACACUCAGGCAGGGGCUUCCCUGCUGAUUUUACCAGGUACUUGAGUUACCAGACCUAGGAAGAUGAAUUUAGGAAAACCUCUUGAACAACAGGCUUUACUUUAGUGUAAAGUGCAGAUGGCCAUUCGUGGUUGCUUGAUUGUUCUGUGAGUAGAAGCAGAGCCCAUUUCAUGCUGUAUUUAUAAAGGAAGACCUCCUGAGGGUUGGAAUGGGUUCAUCUAACACCCACAAUGGAAUGUUUGUCUUUCAGUAAGGUGUCACUGUUAUUUGCUUUCAGGAAGGAAUGACCAAAGGCUUGCCUCACUUCCACAAGGACAGACACACAAAUUUAAGCUGUUCAGUUAUGCCAGUAUAUUUUGUCAGCUGCCCUGACAGAGAUUCCAGGAGCAGUUGGGAGCACAAGAAGGACCCAGGGAUGUUUGCUGGGUAGCCAAGCCCUUGGGGCUCCAUAAUGGGGCAAAGGACCAGGGCAUCCAUCAGUGCCAGACAAGACCUGGGCAUUUCAAUUUGCAGAUCCAGCAUCUCCUACACAACUUCAGUCUCAUCCUACUAGCCAGCUGCAGCUAAAAUAAAACAGAGACACAUCACCAGUGAAACAGUGUUUAAUAUAGUUAAAUUACUUAAAUAGAUUUCAAUUUCCAUGGGAAAUCAUAACUGUAUCCAUUUUUGCAAGAUCCAGAGUAAAGAGUGUGUGAAUACCCCUUGAAAUGAUCAUGACACACUGUCAACAAUCACAGCUAGAGAUACUGGGGACUUGAAAUUUCAUUGACAACACAACUUCAUAAGGUGAAUCAAAAGUUAAGAAGACUGCAGACUUUUGGAAAGCAGAAAGCAAACCUAAAAUCAAGUGUAUGGCAUGAAGGAAAUGAAACUCAGUGAGGGACAAAGGGGAUGGGGGUGGAGGAGGGGAGAAAGGCAUAACACCGUGAUGCAACUUAAGUUUAUUUUGCAAACCAGGAAAGAUGUAAAGGAGCAAAAGUAUAGUACAAGGGCAGACUUGGCAGUUUUACAGAAGUCAAUAUACUAUACUUUUCAGAGAUGUUUCCUAGUGGAAGGGAGAAGGAAAGGGGAGAUGCCAUUUAAGCUCAUGUUUAAAUGGCUUAAUGCUCGGGUCAUGCUUAGCAAUAGAGCAAAUUAAUUAAGACAGGUCCAUGGAUUUUCACUUAUUCUCAUUGUUGAGUAGGAAAAAGAAAUCGCCACCACCAUAGUGCAAUCAUUAUGCUGUGAGUACUACAAUAAUUCUGCCCUGAGAAGAGUGGAAAAGAAGUUUAUUAAAUGUCAAAAGAUUGGAGUAAUUUUUAGUGCUAGCCAAAUUCAAUAUCAAAACUUUCCCCUCAUAGAAUAUAAAAAAUAUAGCUUCUUUAAAUAAUUUUUUUU